rnacentral:rRNA from 1 species
CAGUAGCCGCGGGAAAACGGAGGGUGCAAGCGUUAAUCGGAAUUACUGGGCGUAAAGCGCACGCAGGCGGUCUGUCAAGUCAGAUGUGAAAUCCCCGGGCUUAACCUGGGAACUGCAUUUGAAACUGGCAGGCUAGAGUCUUGUAGAGGGGGGUAGAAUUCCAGGUGUAGCGGUGAAAUGCGUAGAGAUCUGGAGGAAUACCGGUGGCGAAGGCGGCCCCCUGGACAAAGACUGACGCUCAGGUGCGAAAGCGUGGGGAGCAAACAGGAUUAGAUACCCCUGUAGUCCCUGUCUCUUAUAC